UAGGAAGUCAACGCAGCGGUAGUCAUUUUGAGCUGUUCCUUUCUCUCUUUUACUUUUUUUAUUGUAAUAAUGCCAGGAAAUAUCGUACUCGUAUCACUUAUUUUUCUACUUACCUUCAAAACAGUGUCCUUUGCUGAAAUGCAGCCCCUAAAUCACUCUGUGCAUGCAGGGGACCGUUUUGAGUUUGUUCAGAGAGAAGAGCUUCCACAGUUUUCACAGUUAAUGUGGAUGAAAAAAACGUUUUCCAGGGAUAACUCAGAAACCAUUGUGACAUACUACAGUAAGAAUAAAGAAGUUGACCCUGCCAGUUCUUACAAGGACAGAGUGGUGUUCAAUACUGCAAAUUUCUCUCUAACACUGAAGGAAAUGCAGAAGACAGACAGUGGACUUUACUGCACAAUAACAAUUGGAAAAAAAACCAAAGAAGUUUGUCAGUACAAUGUAUCUGUUGUAGAUAAUCAUGGAUCACCCACUUCCAUUUUUCUUCCAUGGAUAUUACUUACCUCUACACUUAGUACAAUAAUGUUCUAAAUUAACAUGUGAAUAAAGAUGAAUGUAUAUAUAUAUACAUAUUUCAACUUACUAAUAGCAAUUAUUUCAAAGGGAAAUGCCAUGACAAGUGAAAUUAUUAUGCUCAAACAAGGAUUAUGAAUAACAAAAUACAACAAAAUAUACCUUCCAAAUUGUAUCUGACUUUGUCAACAAAUACUCAUUACAAAUUGCAGAGGAAAACCUCGCCAAAAAGUGUGCUGUGGCAGAUGUAUACAUAUUUAUGAAUUGGUCUGAAUCAGCGGGAAACUCCAAAUGUUU